UAAAAGGUAGAAAAAAUUUGUCACAGAGAUCAAAUUACAUGACAAGAUGAAUUCUUCAAUUAAGGAAAUUUGAAUGCAGUUAAAAUGCCUUUUCAUCUUUUACUACUUUAUUAUAUCAAAAAUAACAUUUUUGUCAUUGAACAGUAAAAUGAAAAUUAUUACCCCAAUAAAGCUCCAGGAAAAAAGGAAAAAAAAGUUUAACUAUUCACUGUACACAAAUCAAUUUUAUGCUCUGCCAUUAAUGGCGCCACAGACUCCGGUGACCACUCUCCGCUGAACUGUGGUUUCUCUUCUCGAUCUAAAUCGGUAGAAACUUCUAGAACUAUUGUUUAUCAAAACAUAAACCACAUAUCAUACAUACAUAUUAUACAAAUAUACAUAUACACACAUAUAUACAUGAGAGAGAACAUCAGAUCUGGGCUUCUCCACCCCAUCCUCAUCAUAUUUGUUAUUUUCGGCUUCAAUGGCCUUUGGAGAGGUGGAGAUCUGGUAGACGAUGAUGGAAGAACUGUAUAUAUGUAUAUAUACACAUAUAUACAUGAGAGAGAGAGAGAACAUCAGAUCUGGAAGACGAUACAGAGAAAACAGAGAGAGAGAGAAAGGAUCACCAUUUUUGUGUUCGAGAGCUUUAGUUGUAAGUAGAGAAGCUAGAAAACCCUAAUUGGAGAAGCCCUAGUGGUGAAGAACAGAUCUGGAUCAACUCCAUCGCCCCAUCUCCAGCUCUCGCCGUCGACGAUCGAAGCACCAAGGUGACGAGUCUUUGCCGCUAUUACCAAACCCUCCCAGGUCAAGGUCCACCUCUAUCGGCGGGGCAAAGGUCCGAUCGACGUAUUCAAGUCGGGUUUGCGAGUAGGACCAGAACGAGCUUGAAAUUGGAGACAUCCUCGACAAAUACGGCUUCAAAUUGGUCUCUUCCGCCAUAGCUCCCAUCGGUCAGUGGCACAGCCAGCCACCUCCAAGACCACGGCAGCAAGUCAGUCUAGGCGGGCAUACCUGACGUUCUUAGCCGGAGACGGUGACUACGUGAAGGUCGUGGUGGGGCUCGCAAAGGGCUUGAGGAAGGAGCACCGACGUGUGUUGGUGGCUCAGGGAUGUAUAGUUCGACAGAUCGAACCAGUGUACCCACCCGAGAAUGGGACAAAGUUGGCCUGGGAUCAACUACUUCAAGCUUCGCAUCUGGGAGGCGAGAAUGAAUGAGAAGUAUGCAACACCAUACACAACAUUAACACUAAUAUGUUUAACGGCGAACGUUUAAUGUGGGAUUAUCGGUUUCUGUGCCAAUCAUAAUAUUUCUGCUUGGUCGUUGACACCCGAGAUCCGAGCCCUUUCAAGUAUUUAUGGGUGUUCUAGGGUUUGGCUUGAUUGUUAUGGCGCUGUAUGCUGUUCUUUGGGGAAAGAACAAAGAAAUGAAUGCAAAGAACAAUGCUGGGGAGGAUAGAGAAGAAGAGAAGCAAGAGGUAGUGAAAUGUGACUUGGAAAUGCAGUUUUCAGGGUUUUCAAAUGGCAAUCACAAUCUUCAUACAAUCAGAAGUUAAGCAAAGAAAUAGUGGCAAUGGAAAUUAGGUUUCCGUUGUUCAUAUGAUCAUCUUUGGAUGGGCAGAGCUAGCUAGCUAGUCUUUUUCUCUUAUACAAAAGUUUUUUCCAGAAAGAAAACUUUUAUUGCUCUCUUGCUGUUUUUGGCAGCUUUGAUAGGGCAUGGAGUCAUGGAGCUAGCAAUGAAAUAAGUAGUUUAUAUAACUCCAAAAAAAUAAAAUAAAAUGUUGCAUUAUAUAUUAGGAGGAAAACCCACAUGGUUUGGUAACAUAAGAGAAAUAAAUGGAACUAUUAUGCCAAGUUAAUUUUGUUUUUAAUAAGAUCUUCAUUCAUCA